UACAGAGGUGGCAAGCGUUGUUCGGAAUUACUGGGCGUAAAGGGCGCGUAGGCGGCCUUCUAAGUCGGACGUGAAAGCCCCAGGCUUAACCUGGGAACUGCGUCCGAUACUGGGAGGCUUGGAUUCGGGAGAGGGAUGUGGAAUUCCAGGUGUAGCGGUGAAAUGCGUAGAUAUCUGGGGGAACACCGGUGGCGAAGGCGGCAUCCUGGACCGAGAUCGACGCUGAGGCGCGAAAGCUAGGGGAGCAAACGGG
rnacentral:rRNA from 1 species